rnacentral:rRNA from 1 species
GACAGAGGGGGCAAGCGUUGCUCGGAAUUACUGGGCGUAAAGGGCGCGUAGGCGGGAUGGUAAGUCGGUCGUGAAAUCCCUCGGCUCAACCGAGGAACGUCGAUCGAUACUACCGUUCUUGAGGAUUGCAGAGGAGACUGGAAUUCCCGGUGUAGCGGUGAAAUGUGUAGGGAUCGGGAGGAACACCGGUGGCGAAGGCGGGUCUCUGGGCAAUUCCUGACGCUGAGGCGCGAAAGCGUGGGGAGCAAACAGG